rnacentral:rRNA from 1 species
GAUCAUGGCUCAGGAUGAACGCUGGCGGCGUGCUUAACACAUGCAAGUCGAGCGAAGCAAUUUAAGUGAAGUUUUCGGAUGGAUCUUAGAUUGACUGAGCGGCGGACGGGUGAGUAACGCGUGGAUAACCUGCCUCACACAGGGGGGAUAAACAGUUAGAAAUGACUGCUAAUACCGCAUAAGCGCACAGUACCGCNUGGUAUAGUGUGAAAACUACCGUGGUGUGAG